rnacentral:lncRNA from 1 species
CUUCGAGAAUCGAAUUAAGAGUAAGGCAGCUAAAGAAACUAGGUUCAGUCCAUAUACUUUCAACGGCUAGCCUACAUACAGCGAGCAAUGUUGUGAAUCUGCUUCGGCACCAUCGGGCAAAACACACUUGAUCUAUGCCACGGUACACAUCUGUGCCACAUGCAAAUUGUUUAUUAGAUUUUUUGUUUGCUUUAAAGAGAAAUAUAGGCAAUAAUGAGUAUAAAAGUAGUGUUAAUUUUUUAUGUGAUAAUUUUACAAGAAACUAAACUGUAUCUGUAAAGUGUCUCUCACGCGCACUCUAUCCACCGUCGGAAGAAACAAAACAAGCCAACUUAAAAACCCGAAAAACAGCUUCAUAUGCAACUAUUGGGGGCGCUAUAUACUGCCAAGUUUCGUCAGCUGCGCAGCUAGCUAGCUAACUGUUUACAUGUAAAUUGCUUGCUGUGAACCGAAAGCGCUCUCGGAGCAUUCACAUGCUGAACGAUCAAAGAGAUGGUCAAAUUUGUCUUUGAUGACUUCAUGUUUGCCUGUGGAUGCUGUUCCAAAGAUUUUGAUCUCAUCUACCAUCUUGCAGAGCUGAGCUACAGCAAUGCCCUAUGACACAAGCAGCCAAACAGAUGCAUGUACUCACCACUCCACCACCAGCUGAGUGUACCAACACUGUCUUUCCCUUAGUCAAGUUAGCCACCUCAUACAACAUCAUGUAAGC